GAUGAACGCUGGCGGCGUGCCUAACACAUGCAAGUCGAGCGAUUUACUUCGGUAAAGAGCGGCGGACGGGUGAGUAACGCGUGGGUAACCUGCCCUGUACACACGGAUAACAUACCGAAAGGUAUGCUAAUACGAGAUAAUAUGCUUUUAUCGCAUGGUAGAAGUAUCAAAGCUUUUGCGGUACAGGAUGGACCCGCGUCUGAUUAGCUAGUUGGUAAGGUAACGGCUUACCAAGGCGACGAUCAGUAGCCGACCUGAGAGGGUGAUCGGCCACAUUGGAACUGAGACACGGUCCAAACUCCUACGGGAGGCAGCAGUGGGGAAUAUUGCACAAUGGGCGAAAGCCUGAUGCAGCAACGCCGCGUGAGCGAUGAAGGCCUUCGGGUCGUAAAGCUCUGUCCUCAAGGAAGAUAAUGACGGUACUUGAGGAGGAAGCCCCGGCUAACUACGUGCCAGCCGCCGCCGUAA
rnacentral:rRNA from 1 species